UCUUAUGUUCUUCUUAUGUACUAAAAAUACCCAUGACAAAAUCUUAACCUUAAUAAUAAGACAGAAAAUAUCAUAAUGCCACUCUAAAAAUCCAUGGCACACCCACCCACAACUGUGUGCAGUUCCAGUCACCCCAUCCCAAAAACAUAUAUUAGAAUUGGGGAAAAGUACAGAGAAGGGCAACAAAAAUUACGAGGGAUAUAGAACAACUUCUGUACAAGGUGAGAUUAAAAAGACUGGGAGUGUUCAUCUAAGAAAUGACUAACGGGAUAUGAGAGAGGUCUGUAAAAACAUGACUAAUGUGGAGAAAGUGAAUAAGGAAUAGGAAGUUACUCACCUUGUGCAGUAACGAUGGUUCUUCGAGAUUUGUGUCCUGUUGCUGCUGUAGUGUAGGUGUGUCUGUGUCCUUGCACUACUGAUUGGACAACUUUGGUAGCAGUGUCCAUUUGGCCCACAAAUACGCCAUCUCUCCUCAUGCUGUCCCAUGAGGUUAGCAAGCAUGCGGGCGCUAACCAUCCUUGGGUCCUUCUCUACCCAGAGUCAUAGUGAGAACUCUGAAGUAGAGGAGAGGAGGGCAGGUCAUGGAGCACCCACAUGGUCAGGGACACACAUCUUGAAGAACCAUCGUUACUGCACAAGGUGAGAAACUUCCUCUUCUUUGAGUACUGUCCCUAUGGGAGUCCACUGUAGGUGUCUCCAGAGCAGUGUCCCCCUUGGAAGGCUGGGACUUCAGAGUCGGGUCAGUCACAGAUGACAGGACUGUGGAGCCAAAGAUGGUAUCGGAGGCAGAGUCCCAGCGAUCACAUAAUGUUCUGCAGAGGUGUGGCUGACACCCACCUCGCCACUCUGCAGAUCUCUGAGAUGGGGACGUCCUUGAGGAAGGUGACAGGUGAGGAGAUUGACCUCGUGGUCAGUGACCCCAUAAGCAUCACAUUAUGAAUUUGGUAGCUGCCUGAUGCAAUUCAAGACCCACUUGGAGAGUCUUUGAGCUGAUAUCGCUGAGCCCUUAGAUCUUUCCACCAUAGAGAGAAAUAGUCUACGGGACUUCCUGAAGGCCCUUGUCCUAUGGAGGUAGAAUACAAGGGCUCUCCUAAUAUGUAAGGUGUGCAGUAUGGCCUCCCUAUUGUCUCGGUGAGAAUCAUAGAAUCAUAGAAUAUCAGGGUUGGAAGGGACCUCAGGAGGUCAUCUAGUCCAACCCCCUGCUCAAAGCAGGACUGAUCCCCAAUUAAAUCAUCCCAGCCAGGGCUUUGACAAGCCUGACCUUAAAAACUUCUAAGGAAGGACAUUCCACCACCUCCCUAGGUAACGCAUUCCAGUGUUUCACCACCCUCCUAGUGAAAAAGUUUUUCCUAAUAUCCAACCUAAACCUCCCCCACUGCAACUUGAGACCAUUACUCCUUGUUCUGUCAUCUGCUACCACUGAGAACAGUCUAGAUCUAUCCUCUUUGGAACCCCCUUUCAGGUAGUUGAAAGCAGCUAUCAAAUCCCCCCUCAUUCUUCUUUUCUGCAGACUAAACAUCCCCAGUUCCCUCAGCCUCUCCUCAUAACUCAUGUGUUCCAGGUGUGAGGCGUGGGGUAGAAGGCAAGAAGGUAAAUAGACUGAUUGAUGUGAAACAAGGAGAUCACUUUAGGGGUGAACCUGUGAUGCAGCCUAAGUGUAACCCUGUCCAGGAAGAAUACUGUAUAUGGGGGAUGCGCCAUCGGAGUUGCUAUUCCCCUAUUCUUCUCGCCGCAGUAAUUGCAAACAGAAAGACCGUUUUCAUCAAUAGGUGUGCUAGCAAAGAGGUGGCCAUAGGUUCGAAGGGGGGCCAAGUCAGCCCUUUCAACACUACGAUUAGGUCCCACGAGGGGGAAGGAAGUUGAGGUUGAGGGAAGAGGUUUGUUAUUCCCUCUUAGUGGUUGGGUGUGAUAGUGCCGAGCACCUAAGUUCCCUCUAAGCUGCAUGGUUGCGCAGCAGGCUGUAAAGGGCCACGGAGUCAUGCAGUCACAGGGGCCUGGAGAGGUAGGGGUGGGCAGAGACUGGAGAGGGGAGCAAGCUGGGCCAUGCAGGGCUGCGAUGGGCCUCUCCCCCAGCCCCAGAGCUCCUGCCACUGGGGAGAGGGCUCAGGGGAGUCGUCUGGCCCCAGCCCCGGGGCAGCCUUCACCCCAGACUCCUUAUCCCUGGCCCCACCUCAGAGUCCUCAUGCCCAGCUAGAGCCCUCACCCCUGCACCCCAAUCAUCUGCCCCAGCCCUGAAGCCCCUUCCACACUCUGAAUCCCUCGGCCCCCACCCCCACCACACAUCACCUCCAUAUUGGUGCAUAUAACAAAAUUCAUUCUGCACAUGGAUGUAAAAUAUUAGAGGGAACAUUGCUGAAUACCCUUCUAAGGUUUGGUGAAAUGCUGUCAUAGCUGCUAGGUGGACCCUGAGCGAGGACAGGAAUAACCCCAAUUUUCUAAGGGUCAGAACAUAUUCCAGAAUAUGUGGAAGAGUUGCUGACACCAGCGAGAUCUGUUGGGACCUGCACCAAAUCUAGAACCUGGACCAUUUCUGCAGGUAAGUGCUGUAUGGUGGACUUUCUGCUGUGCAGUAGAACCUCUUGCACUUCCUCUGAGCAUGAGCUGUCUAGGUGCUGGAACCACAUAGCAGCCACGCUUUGAGGCGAAGGAGCCCCAUGCUGUGAUUUACGGUGCACCCUUUGUCCUGAGAGAGAAGGUCCAGAGUGGCCAGAAGGGAGAUCAGUGGGCACAUCACAAGCUGCAUCUGGCAAGGGUACCAGGUCUGUCUCGGACACAUAGGAGCAAUCAGAAUUAUGUGAGCUCCGUCCCUCUUUAUCUUCAACAGGACCUUCAGCAGAAGAGGAAACGGACGGAAGGCAUAAAGACAGUCCUUGUCCCAGAGAGUGCUGUCCACUCCCCUCCCUGGAACAGUAUGAUAGAUACUUCUUGUUCUGGUGUUGCACUGGUGUGAGGAUUGACUUCUGGGAAUUAGUCUGUAAGCCCAGCUCUGUGAACAAGCGUAUCAUGUCCUCGGUGGCUCGACAAGCCUCCAGAAGUGACUGGGCUCUGAGGAGAUAAUCGUCCAGAUUCCCAGUGACCCGAAAGUGGCCCUGGGAUCCUUCAAGGAGUAGAGAGAGGCAUCGGUCUUCUCAGCGAAGAGCUUCACCCCUCCAAAGGGGGGGAUCCUCCACCGUGGUCUGCACCUCCUUUGGGAAUCCCGAGAGGUGAAGCCAUGACGCCCGUCUCAUCACCCCUGCAAUGGAGUGUCGAGGGCCGAUUGCAAUGAUGUGUUUGCAAUCGGUUGCCCCCCCUGGAUGGUGGCCUUGAAGGAAUACCGGGAGCGCUCCGGCAGCUUAUCAAUAAAGUUGUGUAAUUUAUUGUAAUUUGUGUCAUACUUUGUCAUGAGUGCCUGGUAGUUGGCAUUGUGAAAUUGCAAGGUGGCCAAGGAGUACGCCUUCCUACCAAAGAGAGCAAGUUGUUUCCAAUCUCUGUCAUAGGGUGUUGUCGUAGAAUGGUGCUGUCGGCCAUGAAGUUCCCAACAUCCACCACAAUGGAAUUGAGUGGUGGGUGGGUGAAUGGGAAUUCUGAUUCCUUUGUGAGGACGUAAUAUUUUUUGUCCACCUGCUUUGUCCCCGUUCCGGUGUCAACACAAGAACAAAGUCUUUUCUUUCUUCUUUUUGUUAGUUUUGGGUUUUUUUCCAUUUUUUUUUAGGCACAGCCAUAUAAAAGCCAAAAGAAAGCUAAAGGUUUCUAAAAGCUAAAGAUUAACAACUGAAAAGGAGAGUUAAUGAUCUGCUAAUGGACAGCUAAAGGCUCCAUUUCUAGUCGGGGCAGCUGAGAAGCCGCUGAGGAUAGCGGAGCAGGAAGAGAGACAGCGAAUUGACACCAUUACGGAAGUUCUCUGAUCAGCAGCGCAGGGACACAGAUGUAUCUACAAUGGAGCACCCAUAGGGACACUACUCAAAGAAGAAGUUAUUUACCCCUUCUCAUAACACUCGAACCAGGGGUUAGCUAAUGAAAUUAACAGGCAGCAGGUUUAAAACAAACUAAAGGAAGU